rnacentral:rRNA from 1 species
GUGGGGAAUAUUGGACAAUGGGCGAAAGCCUGAUCCAGCCAUGCCGCGUGUGUGAAGAAGGUCUUCGGAUUGUAAAGCACUUUAAGUUGGGAGGAAGGGCAGUAAGUUAAUACCUUGCUGUUUUGACGUUACCGACAGAAUAAGCACCGGCUAACUUCGUGCCAGCAGCCGCGGUAAUACGAAGGGUGCAAGCGUUAAUCGGAAUUACUGGGCGUACAGCGCGCGUAGGUGGUUCAGCAAGUUGGAGGUGAAAUCCCCGGGCUCAACCUGGGAACUGCCUCCAAAACUACUGGGCUAGAGUACGGUAGAGGGUAGUGGAAUUUCCUGUGUAGCGGUGAAAUGCGUAGAUAUAGGAAGGAACACCAGUGGCGAAGGCGACUACCUGGACUGAUACUGACACUGAGGUGCGAAAGCGUGGGGAGCAAACAGGAUUAGAAACCCCGGUAGUCC